ACUGCUCAGUAACACGUGGACAACCUGCCCUUAGGUUGGGUAUAAACCCGGAAAACUGGGUAUAAUACCCGAUAGGUCUCGAUUGCUGGAAUGCAUCGAGAUUUAAAGCUCCGGCGCCUAAGGAUGGGUCUGCGGCCUAUCAGGUAGUAGUGGGUGUAGCGUACCUACUAGCCUACGACGGGUACGGGUUGUGAGAGCAAGAGCCCGGAGAUGGAUUCUGAGACACGAAUCCAGGCCCUACGGGGUGCAGCAGGCGCGAAAACUUUACAAUGCUGGCAACAGCGAUAAGGGAACCUCGAGUGCCAGGUUACAAAUCUGGCUGUCGAGAUGCCUAAAAAGCAUUUCAUAGCAAGGGCCGGGCAAGACCGGUGCCAGCCGCCGCGGUAACACCGGCGGCUCGAGUGGUAACCGUUAUUAUUGGGUCUAAAGGGUCUGUAGCCGGCCGGAUAAGUCUCUUGAGAAAUCUGGCAGCUUAACUGUCAGGCUUUCAGGAGAUACUGUCUGGCUCGAGGCCGGGAGAGGUGAGAGGUACUUCAGGGGUAGGGGUGAAAUCUUGUAAUCCUUGAAGGACCACCAGUGGCGAAGGCGUCUCACCAGAACGGACCUGACGGCAAGGGACGAAAGCUAGGGGCACGAACCGGAUUAGAUACCCGGGUAGUCCUAGCCGUAAACGAUACUCGCUAGGUGUCGGCCACGGUGCGACCGUUGUCGGUGCCGUAGGGAAGCCGUGAAGCGAGCCACCUGGGAAGUACGGCCGCAAGGCUGAAACUUAAAGGAAUUGGCGGGGGAGCAC
rnacentral:rRNA from 1 species